UCCUUGGUGGUCUAGUGGGUAGAGUUUGGUAUUUUCACUGCCACGGCCCAGGUUCAAUUCCUGGUCUGGGAA
rnacentral:tRNA from 1 species